rnacentral:tRNA from 2 species
GGAAGGUUGGCUGAGUGGUUUAAAGCACUGGUCUUGAAAACCAGCGUGCGCUAAUACCGCACCCAGGGUUCGAAUCCCUGGCCUUCCGCCA